rnacentral:rRNA from 1 species
GACGAACGCUGGCGGCGUGCUUAACACAUGCCAGUCGAACGGAAAGGCCCUGCUUGCAGGGUACUCGAGUGGCGAACGGGUGAGUAACACGUGGGUGAUCUGCCCUGCACUUCGGGAUAAGCCUGUGAAACUGGGUCUAAUACCGGAUAGGAGCCAUUUUUAGUGUGAUGGUUGGAAAGUUUUUUCGGUGUAGGAUGAGCUCGCGGCCUAUCAGCUUGUUGGUGGGGUAAUGGCCUACCAAGGCGGCGACGGGUAGCCGGCCUGAGAGGGUGGACGGCCACAUUGGGACUGAGGUACGGACCAGACUCCUACGGGCGGCAGCAGUGGGGAAUAUUGCACAAUGGGCGCAAGCCUGAUGCAGCGGCGCCGCGUGGGGGAUGACGGCCUUCGGGUUGUAAACUCCUUUCGCUAGGGACGAAGCUUUUGUGACGGUACCUAGAUAAGAAGCACCGGCUAACUACGUG